GGGCUGGUAGCUCAGUUGGUUAGAGCACCACCAUAUAUAAGCAGAGGUCCUGGGUUCAAUCCCCGGCUGGUCCA
rfam:Serpula lacrymans var. lacrymans S7.3 unplaced genomic scaffold SERLA73scaffold_37, whole genome shotgun sequence.